AGAGUUUGAUCAUGGCUCAGGAUGAACGCUAGCUACAGGCUUAACACAUGCAAGUCGAGGGGCAGCGAGAAGAAAGCUUGCUUUCUUUGUCGGCGACCGGCGCACGGGUGAGUAACGCGUAUCCAACCUUCCCUAUAGUAGAGAAUAGCCCGGCGAAAGUCGGAUUAAUGCUCUAUGUUGUAUUUUUGCGGACAUCUAACGAAUACCAAAGGUUUACCGCUAUAGGAUGGGGAUGCGUCUGAUUAGGUUGUUGGCGGGGUAACGGCCCACCAAGCCGUCGAUCAGUAGGGGUUCUGAGAGGAAGGUCCCCCACAUUGGAACUGAGACACGGUCCAAACUCCUACGGGAGACAGCAGUGAGGAAUAUUGGUCAAUGGACGGAAGUCUGAACCAGCCAAGUAGCGUGCAGGAUGACGGCCCUAUGGGUUGUAAACUGCUUUUAUACAGGGAUAAAGUCGGGGACGUGUUCCCGUUUGUAGGUACUGUAUGAAUAAGGACCGGCUAAUUCCGUGCCAGCAGCUGC
rnacentral:rRNA from 1 species